AUAUAGCGAGCAGCAUAGCGAGUCAUACGGUAGAAUCAACAGGAGUCAAAGAAGUAUUUAGUUGAUGGCUAUCAAUUGCUGAAGUACGAACCAAAAGUUCUACCGGAAGGAAAAAUAGCUCAACAUGCAGAACAAAAUUUACACGAAAUAAAUAAGCUCUUAAAACGAUUCAAUGUAACAUAAACUUUAUCAGUACGUAGUUUGCUAAGUAAGUUCUACGUUUGGGAGUAAAUAUUAAACGAAAAACAAAACUGUAUAUAUACAUAGCCUUCGUAGGCA
rnacentral:misc_RNA from 1 species